rnacentral:rRNA from 1 species
GCUUCGGUGGUGGAUUAGUGGCGAACGGGUGAGUAACACGUGGGCAAUCUGCCCUGCACUCUGGGACAAGCCCUGGAAACGGGGUCUAAUACCGGAUAUGACACGGGGAGGCAUCUUCUCGUGUGGAAAGCUCCGGCGGUGCAGGAUGGGCCCGCGGCCUAUCAGCUUGUUGGUGGGGUGAUGGCCUACCAAGGCGACGACGGGUAGCCGGCCUGAGAGGGCGACCGGCCACACUGGGACUGAGACACGGCCCAAACUCCUACGGGAGGCAGCAGUGGGGAAUAUUGCA